rnacentral:rRNA from 1 species
UGCUUUGAUGGAUGGCGACCGGCGCACGGGUGAGUAACACGUAUCCAACCUGCCGACAACACUGGGAUAGCCUUUCGAAAGAAAGAUUAAUACCGGAUGGUAUAGUUUUCCCGCAUGGGAUGAUUAUUAAAGAAUUUCGGUUGUCGAUGGGGAUGCGUUCCAUUAGGCAGUUGGCGGGGUAACGGCCCACCAAACCUACGAUGGAUAGGGGUUCUGAGAGGAAGGUCCCCCACAUUGGAACUGAGACACGGUCCAAACUCCUACGGGAGGCAGCAGUGAGGAAUAUUGGUCAAUGGACGAGAGUCUGAACCAGCCAAGUAGCGUGAAGGAUGACUGCCCUAUGGGUUGUAAACUUCUUUUAUACGGGAAUAAAGUGAGCCACGUGUGGCUUUUUGUAUGUACCGUAUGAAUAAGGAUCGGCUAACUCCGUGCCAGCAGCCGCGGUAAUACGGAGGAUCCGAGCGUUAUCCGGAUUUAUUGGGUUUAAAGGGAGCGUAGGCGGGUUGUUAAGUCAGUUGUGAAAGUUUGCGGCUCAACCGUAAAAUUGCAGUUGAUACUGGCGACCUUGAGUGCAACAGAGGUAGGCGGAAUUCGUGGUGUAGCGGUGAAAUGCUUAGAUAUCACGAAGAACUCCGAUUGC